CUCCAAAACACUAACCAACCUUCU
rnacentral:siRNA from 1 species